rnacentral:rRNA from 1 species
CCUACGGGUGGCUGCAGUGGGGAAUAUUGGACAAUGGGCGCAAGCCUGAUCCAGCAAUACCGCGUGUGUGAAGAAGGCCUGAGGGUUGUAAAGCACUUUUAGCGAUGAAGAAGUGUGCGUAAGCACAUUGACGGUAAUCGAAGAAUAAGCACCGGCUAACUCUGUGCCAGCAGCCGCGGUAAUACAGAGGGUGCGAGCGUUAAUCGGAAUGACUGGGCGUAAAGCGUGCGCAGGCGGGGGUAUCAGUUGGACGUGAAAGACCAGGGCUUAACCUU